AUUGAACGCUGGCGGCAGGCCUAACACAUGCAAGUCGAGCGGAGCGGCGGACGGGUGAGUAAUGCCUAGGAAUCUGCCUGGUGGUGGGGGAUAACGUCCGGAAACGGGCGCUAAUACCGCAUACUAUCAGAUGAGCCUAGGGCGGAUUAGCUAGUUGUGGGGGGAAAGGCCUACAAAGGCGACGAUCCGUAACUGGUCUGAGAGGAUGAUCAGUCACACUGGAACUGAGACACGGUCCAGACUCCGACGGGAGGCAGCAGUGGGGAAUAUUGGACAAUGGGCGAAAGCCUGAUCCAGCCAUGCCGCGUGUGUGAAGAAGGUCUUCGGAUUGUAAAGCACUUUAAGUUUGGAGGCGUUACCAACAGAAUAAGCACCGGCUAACUUCGUGCCAGCAGCCGCGGUAAUAC
rnacentral:rRNA from 1 species